rnacentral:lncRNA from 1 species
UGAAAAUGAAAAGAAAGAGAAAUAUGGUUUGGACUGACCUUGUCAUAUGGAAUAGCCUGCCAGGAGCUUAUGCCUGGGACAGCCCCCACAGGCUUAUGUGUGGAAGAAUAUGAUCCGAGAAAGAUCAUGAAGAAUCUGAUCUGAGAAAGAUCAUGAAUGAUUUGAUCCGAGAAAGAUCAUGGCCACUUUUAUCCGAGAAAGAUCAUGAAUAUUUCGAUCCGAAGAAGAUCACAGAAAUCGAUCCGAAUAAAAGAUCGUCGCAUGAUCCGGGUAGUCCAAAGCCAAAAAGGAAUAAAAGGUUGUCAUUCCAAAGAUGUGAAGAAUGAAAUAUAUAAUAUGAAAUUUAAACAAUGAAU